rnacentral:rRNA from 1 species
UACGGAGGGUGCAAGCGUUAUCCGGAUUUACUGGGUUUAAAGGGUGCGUAGGUGGGUCUGUAAGUCAGUGGUGAAAUCUCCGAGCUUAACUCGGAAACUGCCAUUGAUACUAUAGGUCUUGAAUCAUCUGGAGGUGAGCGGAAUAUGUCAUGUAGCGGUGAAAUGCUUAGAUAUGACAUAGAACACCAAUUGCGAAGGCAGCUCACUACGGAUGUAUUGACACUGAGGCACGAAAGCGUGGGGAUCAAACAGG